rnacentral:rRNA from 1 species
CCAGACUCCUACGGGAGGCAGCAGUGGGGGAUAUUGCACAAUGGGGGGAACCCUGAUGCAGCGACGCCGCGUGGGUGAAGGAGUAUUUCGGUAUGUAAAGCCCUAUCGGCAGGGAAGAAGCAAGACGGUACCUGACUAAGAAGCCCCGGCUAACUACGUGCCAGCAGCCGCGGUAAUACGGAGGAUGCGAGCGUUAUCCGGAUUUAUUGGGUUUAAAGGGUGCGUAGGCGGGCUGUUAAGUCAGCGGUAAAAGCCCGGGGCGCAACCCCGGCGAGCCGUUGAAACUGGCUGUCUUGAGAUGUCGAGAGGUAUGCGGAAUGCGCAGUGUAGCGGUGGAAUGCUUAGAUAUUGCGCAGAACUCCGAUUGCGAAGGCAGCAUACCGGCGGCGAUCUGACGCUGAGGCACGAAAGCGUGGGUAUCGAACGGGAUUAGAUACCCCCGUAGA